rnacentral:tRNA from 1 species
GUGGGGAAAGCUCAAUGGUAGAGCAUGUGCCUAGCAUGUAUGCAUGAGGUCCUGGGUUCAAUCCCCAGUACCUCCA